AAUUCGAUUGAGUUUGAUCAUGGCUCAGGACGAACGCUGGCGGCGCGCUUAACACAUGCAAGUCGAGCGAGAACCGGGGCUUCGGCCCCGGGGACAGCGGCGAACGGGUGAGUAACACGUGGGUAAUCUGCCCUCGGUUCUGGGAUAGCCCGGGGAAACCCGGAUUAAUACCGGAUAGCCUCCACUGCUCAUGGCGGUGGAGAAAAGGUAGCUUCGGCCACCGACCGAGGAGGAGCCUGCGGCGGAUUAGCUUGUUGGCGGGGUAACGGCCCACCAAGGCGACGAUCCGUAGCUGGUCUGAGAGGACGAUCAGCCACACUGGGACUGAGACACGGCCCAGACUCCUACGGGAGGCAGCAGUGGGGAAUCUUGCGCAAUGGGCGAAAGCCUGACGCAGCGACGCCGCGUGAGGGAAGAAGGCCUUCGGGUUGUAAACCUCUUUCAGGAGGGACGAAGCCACUCGGGUUAAUAGCCCAGAGGGUGACGGUACCUCCAGAAGAAGCCCCGGCUAACUACGUGCCAGCAGCCGCGGUAAUACGUAGGGGGCAAGCGUUGUCCGGAUUUAUUGGGCGUAAAGAGCGUGUAGGCGGCCAGAUAGGUCUGCUGUGAAAACUCGAGGCUCAACCUCGAGCUGUCGGCGGAAACCAUUUGGCUAGAGUCCGGAAGANGAGAGUGGAAUUCC
rnacentral:rRNA from 1 species